rnacentral:rRNA from 1 species
UGAUUUAGCGGCGGACGGGUGAGUAACACGUGGGCAACCUGCCCUGUAGAUUGGGAUAACUCCGGGAAACCGGGGCUAAUACCGAAUAAUCCAUUUCCUCACAUGGGGAGAUGUUAAAAGACGGCAUCUCGCUGUCACUACAGGAUGGGCCCGCGGCGCAUUAGCUAGUUGGUGAGGUAACGGCUCACCAAGGCGACGAUGCGUAGCCGACCUGAGAGGGUGAUCGGCCACACUGGGACUGAGACACGGCCCAGACUCCUACGGGAGGCAGCAGUAGGGAAUCUUCCACAAUGGACGAAAGUCUGAUGGAGCAAUGCCGCGUGAGUGAAGAAGGUUUUCGGAUCGUAAAACUCUGUUGUGAGGGAAGAACAAGUACGAGAGUAACUGCUCGUACCUUGACGGUACCUCAUUAGAAAGCCACGGCUAACUACGU